UACGUAGGGGGCGAGCGUUGUCCGAAGUUACUGGGCGUAAAGCGCGCGUAGGCGGCUCUUUAAGUCCGGCGUGAAAGGUUCAGGGCUCAACCCGAACAGUGCGCUGGAGACUGGAGAGCUUGAGGAUGGGAGAGGGAAGCGGAAUUCCGGGUGUAGCGGUGAAAUGCGUAGAUAUCCGGAGGAACACCGAUGGCGAAGGCAGCUUCCUGGCCCAUAUCUGACGCUGAGGAGCGAAAGCGUGGGGAGCGAACAGG
rnacentral:rRNA from 1 species